CUACUUAGUCCUAGAAGAACCUUCCCCAGAAUCGGCAUCUCUAGCUCCGUCGAAUAGCUUUCGCAACUCGCGAAGUCCCAACAAUAGGUAGGCCCUGGCUAGAUGUCUGCCUUAAGUUCCUUCAGUAUUUUGGCAUUCUUUGACCCUCUUGAGAAACUUUCUCUCCAACUCCACCAUGCCUCGCUUCAAGUAUCCCAGUCUUGUUGGAACUGACAGUCAUGUCCUUCCAUUCCUUAAUUAGCUUUUGGUUGGACUCUUGUAUUUUGUGGUGCUCGCUUUUGUACUCCUGGAUUCUUUUGCAUAGUUGGUCAUAUUUGACUUAUGCCUCGUCCUUUUCAUCUAUGAUCCUGCGACCUCGAGCAAAUCUUGGCUGGCCCAGACCAUUAUGAUUAUCUUCUAACCAACCUCAGUGGAAAAGAACACAACCAGCCUAAUACCUAUCUGGAUUGAUGGUAUCUCUCCACAUUAUGA
rnacentral:lncRNA from 1 species